rnacentral:rRNA from 1 species
UACGUAGGGAGCAAGCGUUGUCCGGAAUCACUGGGCGUAAAGGGUGCGUAGGCGGGUUUUUAAGUCAGGGGUGAAAUCCUGGAGCUCAACUCCAGAACUGCCUUUGAUACUGAAGAUCUUGAGUCCGGGAGAGGUGAGUGGAACUGCGAGUGUAGAGGUGAAAUUCGUAGAUAUUAGGAAGAACACCAGUGGCGAAGGCGGCUCACUGGUCCGGUACUGACGCUGAGGUGCGAAAGCGUGGGGAGCAAACAGG